UGCGGGAUGGAGUAACGAGCAACUCGGCGCUCUUUGAAAGCGCAGUUGAUGGUGCGAAUCCGUCUCCCGCAGCCA
rnacentral:tRNA from 1 species